rnacentral:lncRNA from 1 species
CCCCAAACCACCUCCAAAUAGAACCUGCUUGUCCCCAUCUCUUCUCUCUAUGGGGCAGAGGAGGUGGAGGUGCUGCUGGAGCAUCCCAGGGAACACGGGUAUCAUGGGACAAAGCCAAACCAUAGGGUCACUUGUAUGAAGGCAAUGUCGGAGGGCGAAGUGGAUUAAAGUUCAUCAGAAUGUUCCCCCUCUCUCCAACUCUACUUUUGGUUAUAAACAGGAAGCUGAGGUUUUAUGUCACCCCCAAAACUUUGCAGAACGUGCCUGCUUUUAUAGCAGCUUUUAUUUAUUUGUUUCUUCCCCUCAUUGGGAAACAGAGAGUUUGCAGCUGAUGGGAAGCAGGGGAGGUGCUAAAAUCCAACUCCCCCCCCCCCAAAUAUCUGCGGUGCCUUUCACUGUAAAACCCAAAUCUCCUCCCGAUGGGGGGAACAGAGACGGAAAAGGGGAUAAUGUUUCCCUCCGUUCCCAUUGUCCCAGCACUGGACUUUGUUUGAGAGGAGUCUGAAUAAAGUGUGGAACACGCUGUGAGUCCAGGUGAGCUCUCUCUCAAUGGGAACAUCCAAUGAAGGCUACAGUGUGGAGCAAGUGGGAGAGCAGAGCCAGGAGCCCCAUGGGUACAGCAGGACCCCACUGCUGGAUUUUCAUAGGAGACCCUGCUGCUGCUGCAUUGCUCCAUCUUACCAGCAACAGCCAGCGGGGCCGCUCUGCUGUCACAUCCCCACACGCUGUCCCUGCACACAUUGAGCAGACGGAGAUGUUUUAAUUAACAAAAUCACAGCGUCACGUCUCGGUGCCGGAUUGAAGAGGCAGCGCUGGGAGUGAGCGGCUGCUUCCCUGCUGUUGUGCCCAUAAAGGCCCCAUGUCCCCAAUGGGCAGCUGAAGGUCAAGCAGAUGGGUUUGGUUUUUCUUGCCCCUUGAGUCAUUUU